rnacentral:rRNA from 1 species
UAGCCGGACUGAAGGUUGGACGGCCACAUUGGGACUGAGAUACGGCCCAGACUCCUACGGGAGGCAGCAGUCGGGAAUAUUGCGCAAUGGAGGAAACUCUGACGCAGUGACGCCGCGUAUAGGAAGAAGGUUUUCGGAUUGUAAACUAUUGCGUUAGGGAAGAAAAAAGACAGUACCUAAGGAGGAAGCUCCGGCUAACUACGUGCCAGCAGCCGCGGUAAUACGUAGGGAGCGAGCGUUAUCCGGAUUUAUUGGGUGUAAAGGGUGCGUAGACGGGCAAGCAAGUUAGUUGUGAAAUCCCUCGGCUUAACUGAGGAACUGCAACUAAAACUGCUAGUCUUGAGUGCAGGAGAGGUAAGUGGAAUUCCUAGUGUAGCGGUGAAAUGCGUAGAUAUUAGGAGGAACACCAGUGGCGAGGCGACUUACUGGACUGUAACUGACGUUGAGGCACGAAGUGUGGGG